ACUCAAAGGAAUUGACGGGGGCCCGCACAAGCGGCGGAGCAUGUUGCUUAAUUCGACGCAACGCGAAGAACCUUACCAAGGUUUGACAUCAUCGGAAAACUCGCAGAGAUGCGGGGUCCUUUUGGGCCGGUGACAGGUGGUGCAUGGCUGUCGUCAGCUCGUGUCGUGAGAUGUUGGGUUAAGUCCCGCAACGAGCGCAACCCUCGUUCCAUGUUGCCAGCACGUAGUGGUGGGGACUCAUGGGAGACUGCCGGGGUCAACUCGGAGGAAGGUGGGGAUGACGUCAAGUCAUCAUGCCCCUUAUGUCUUGGGCUGCAAACAUGCUACAAUGGCCGGUACAAAGGGCUGCGAAACCGUGAGGUGGAGCGAAUCCCGGAAAGCCGGUCUCAGUUCGGAUUGGGGUCUGCAACUCGACCCCAUGAAGUCGGAGUCGCUAGUAAUCGCAGAUCAGCAACGCUGCGGUGAAUACGUUCCCGGGCCUUGUACACACCGCCCGU
rnacentral:rRNA from 1 species